AUUAUUACAUUUUAAUCAAUUUUACCUUUGUAUUUAAGUUUUCAACUCAAAUAUGUAUGUUUAUUUUUUUUAUGCAGCAAACAUACUGCAAUCUGAUUGGUUGAUAACCACCGGUGUAAAUAACAUCCACCCUUGUUAACCCCGGGAUAUAUAUAAUUUAGUCAAAAAAUUUUAACAUUGAAAAAAAUUGCAAAACCAAGGAUUUGUUUAGCUAUUCAAAUCUUUGGCAAAACAAAAGAAAUUUAAAAAUAAAAUGUAAAAAUAAAAAAAUAAAAAAAUAUUAAAAAAUAAAUAAAUUUUAGAACAAAAAUUUGUAAAAAUAAAAGAAAAAAAUUCCCGAAAAAUUCGAAAGAACAUUUUUUUCUUCUGAAUUUCCCAAAAUUUAAGGGAAAAAGUUAUUUGACAAUAUACAGCAACAUCGUUGAAAAGAAAUGUUACACUGAAAUUGUUUCAUUAGCAUUUUUCAAUUUUACAUACCGGUUUUAAAAUGAGUAAAGUAAUUGUUCAUUAUUAUUAACUUCGUUAUCUAGGUGUAAUCCGGGAUAUAAGUAAUUUUCAACAACGGAGUAAAAUUCUGUACACCUCCUGAUUACACCAUGAUAGUUUAUAAUAUUUACGUCGAAUAAUGGUGUGUUAUACUUGCCGCUGGACACAAGCUCAAACCCUUGUUCCAUUACUGUUAAUUAAACACUAAGAUGGUUUCUCAAAUUUUUAAGACACACAAAUGUUCGCUUUGAAUGUGGAUACUUUAUUUUGAGACAGUUAAUAAUAUCCACUUAUUUAUUAAAACAUGCACUCUUCGACUCCUACUUGAUCCAGCACUGUUAUUUUCAUGUAAUAUUUGCAGUUUAACUCGUCAAGUCAAUGCACCUAUUAAAAAGUUAUUUGAUAUCUAAAGACAAGCAAAGGUAUUUGUAUGUUUCCAAAUAUAAGCC
rnacentral:lncRNA from 1 species